UGUGCCACAGUUGGCACUGAAUCAGGUCGACAGGGGCAUUCCCUAACUUAAUGCUCCAUCGAACCACAAUGAAGGCACGCUCCUAAUUUCCUCCAACAUUCGACCAGGUAGCAUUUUCCACUAUCACUGUAUAGUUGAAUCUCAGUCACUACAGCUGAUACCUUGGCCCUCAGGUGCCUAUUAAAUCUCGCCCGCUUCUUAGAAUCUUGACCAAAACCAGAGGGACCCGAAUCCCUCUUAACCUUAUUUUGAUCUUUCUCAUAGUCACGCC
rnacentral:lncRNA from 1 species